AUAAAUUUUGAGUAGCAAGAUUUUAGUGUUUUAUUGGCAUGAACUUGAAUUCGAGGAGAAGUUUUUUAUAAGUAUUUUGGAUAUUUGCUCAUUUUUUGCUUAUUCAAGUAUGAUGAUUUUUUUUUGGUUAAUUUGUAUUUCGUUUCUUCAUGUGCUGGUUUUGAACUCUAUUAUAAUUCUACAAAUUUUGACUAAUGGUUAGGCUAUUACCAUGAUAUGAUUUGAUUGUACGGUCAGUGUUACCUGAUUCCAUGGUUCACCACGGUACAUUGUACGGCUACGGAUACGGGAUACUGCAAUUUUAUAAUUUG
rnacentral:misc_RNA from 1 species